rnacentral:rRNA from 1 species
CCUACGGGUGACAGCAGUGAGGAAUAUUGGUCAAUGGGCUUACGCCUGAACCAGCCAAGUCGCGUGAGGGAAGACUGCCCUAUGGGUUGUAAACCUCUUUUGUCAGGGAGCAACGCCGGCUACGUGUAGCCGGACGGAGAGUACCUGAAGAAAAAGCAUCGGCUAACUCCGUGCCAGCAGCCGCGGUAAUACGGAGGAUGCGAGCGUUAUCCGGAUUUAUUGGGUUUAAAGGGUGCGUAGGCGGAAUGCCAAGUCAGCGGUAAAAUCGCGGGGCUCAACCUCGGUCCGCCGUUGAAACUGGUGUGCUUGAGUGGGCGAGAAGUAUGCGGAAUGCGUGGUGUAGCGGUGAAAUGCAUAGAUAUCACGCAGAACUCCGAUUGCGAAGGCAGCAUACCGGCGCCCAACUGACGCUGAAGCACGAAAGCGUGGGUAUCGAACAGGAUUAGAUACCCGUGUAGUC